AAAUGGGUUGAUCAAAUUGAAAAAGUGACUGGUAAUGAUGCUACAAUGGGUACUGUGGAUGAUGUUAUGCCUAAUGACAGUGUUUCCAAUGCACCAUCACGACAUUCAUCAAAAUCAUCAAUGAUAUCUAUUAAAAUGCAUCUGGAAAGUGAACAUGCUGAGUUGGCAGCUAAGGCUGAGAGGCUUCAAAAGAAGCAGCAUCUUGAGAAAAAAGAAACUGAGCUCAGAGCUGAGAAGGAGAAGCUUGAAUUGGAGACUCAGAUGGCUGCAAAUACAGCAAAGUUAAGCAUCUUAAAAGGAUUUGAAAUGUCACAAAAUGUGCCUGAAAGAACAGAAAGAAUGGAUGGAAUGAAUGAGUAUUUGGAAGAAGGAUUGGCACAACAUGAUGAACAGGAUGACUAUGAGGACACUGAGCUGACCCAGGCAUACGCACAACCCGCAGCUACUUUGGACAGUACCACUGUGGAUCAGGAAACAGCAACAAGAACUCAAGAGGAACCUGUAAAGACAAUUACACAUGGAAGUCAAACUAUGGAUGCAUCUGUGAGAAGCAGGACAAUACAUCCUCAUCAGAUUCAUUAUGCCCCUUUGGACCCAACGUUUGUCACCCACAAGCCUAAAGUUCCAUUAGAUGUCGCUAAAGAUCGUAGACCACCCCAGACUUCGACCAUCAAGUCAUCUGAUCUUUUUGCCUACCCAGGUAGCCAUGACUUCAUAUCACACGGUACAGGAACACGUGGAGGUGUGGGCUCAACAACACAACCACAAAGAAAAAGAUCUACAAUUAUCCAUGAUCAAAGUAAAAUACAUGAACUCAACAGUCUGAUGUACAUAAUGGAGAAUCAAAAUCAAAUAACAGAAACUCUCAUUAAGCAACAAGGCCAAUUUACUUUACCAUCAGUCAGCAUUCCUGUCUUUAAGGGAGAUCCUCUGGACUAUCUGUUCUUUAUGAGAGCUUUUGAACAUGGCAUUGAAAGGAAAACUGAGAGCAACCAAGAUAGACUGUUCUUUUUAGAGCAGUUCACCUUGGGACAACCA
rnacentral:lncRNA from 1 species